CAUCAAGGUGGUACAGAGUGGACA
rnacentral:siRNA from 1 species